rnacentral:rRNA from 1 species
GACGAACGCUGGCGGCGUGCCUAACACAUGCAAGUCGAACGGUGAAGCCCUUCGGGGUGGAUCAGUGGCGAACGGGUGAGUAACACGUGAGCAACCUGCCCCUGGCUCUGGGACAACCACUGGACACGGUGGCUAAUACCGGAUAAGACCCGACUCUGCUUCAAGUGUGGGUGGAAAGUUUUUCGGCUGGGGUUGUGCUCGCGGCCUAUCAGCUUGUUGGUGAGGAGGAGGCUCAUCAAGGCGACGACGGGUAGCCGGCCUGUGAGGGCGACCGGCCACACUGGGACUGGGACACGGCCCAGACUCCUACGGGAGGCAGCGGUGGGGAAUAUUGCACAAUGGGCGAAAGCCGGAUGCAGCGACGCCGCGUGAGGGAUGUCGGCCUUCGGGUUGUAAACCUCUUUCAGCUCCGAGAAGCGAAAGUGACGGUAGGAGCAGAAGAAGCACCGGCUAACUACGUG